ensembl:lncRNA
CAUGAAUGUCAGGUAUCUACCUCACAGUUUUGUUAUUUCUGCUUCCAAUCUUUGUUCGGUCACUGAGCGUACACUGAGAGCUUACUUUGUGCUAGGCUCUGUAGACUAAGUAUUAACGAAACUUCCUCUCCUGUCCUUGGAGUACCAAGUAUCACUCUCAUGUAUUUUGGGAUUUGGAGCCCCGUUUCCUGCUAAGUGGCCAGUCUCGUGUCAUGUUCUUUGGAAACACAGAGACUCCCCCUGGCCACGUUGGAAGAGACAGUGUGUGGUCAGGGAACCAUGGGCUGGAAUGGGCCCGGUGCUGGGGCCAGGCUGCUCUCUGCCUGUUUCUCAAAGCAGCUCUGCCUGUCAGUGGAACUUCUCCCUGUUCCUCCUCCCUUAGGCCCAUCCUCUGUAUAUCUCUAGUCCAAAUUCCAGAGGAAACCUGUCUGACUGACUUGAGUAGCUGCUCUUGUCCUUUCUGGGCAGAGCCUGGCCUUAGGAGCUGUUGACUAGCCUGUUACUUGGCCUCUCUUGGGUCAGUGCCUGUUGCCCCCAUCCAGAGAGUGGCCAUCUUGACACUUCUCUCCCUGCUGCUCUGACACGGGCACUGUUACAACCAAAAAGGAAGUUCCCCUGUCUGCUCUGUACCUGGGGUAGUGCUGGGUUUAUUGGAUAUUUGCUAGCAGAUGCCCAAAUGGCAUAUAAAUUGUCAGGCUCUAGGCAGAUGGUCCAGUUCAUGUUUUGAAUUGAAAUUGGAAAAACAGUCACAAGUAAUGGUAGAUCUUUUUUGAGGAGCUUAUUAGACAUUGGUAGUGAACUGUAUGAUUUUUGUCAAGGACAAAAGCUCUCUCUCAAUAGGGUAGCAUGUGUACUUAAGAGAGAUAAAAGAGGAUUCCCAGUUUGCAAGAGAUCUUAUUAAAGCUCUAAUCUCUGUGAACCAGAAAAAUUUCCAAGUCUAAACAUUUUAGUUAUUUAGCAGGUAUCUACUGAGCGUUUGGGCUUCCCAGGUGGCCCUAGUGAUGAUAAGCCUGCCUGCCAAUGCAGGAGAUACAAGAGAUGCAG